CUCAGAAUAGCAGUUUCUUGGUUUGGGAGCAUUAUCAGUCAAGGCUGCUUGUUUUGCUUUCAAGGUGAGCUGAGUUACUGACUUGAUUAGGGCUGGAGGAGGAAAAGCAGCAUCUGGGUAAAGUUAAAGAUAAACUGGGCCUCUUGGCAGGCUAAAGUAAAUUUUACAAUAGCCUCAUUUAAUUGACACAAACAAGACAUGGGCUAUGCUGAGGUAUUUUCUUAUCUGGGGGAUGUUCAAACAUUCCAGGCUAAGUUACUCCUGGCUUUUUAGUUUUAGCUAACCUUCACUGAAGAAUGCUUAUAUUCCUAGUUUGAUAUUUUACUUUAGAGAAUUAAUGUAACUCUGACUUUGCUUAAUUGUUUAAUAUGGAGUUUUGGCAGGGGUCUUUUUCCAGAGGCCCUCACCCUACUCUGACUACACCCACGGUCCCUGUCUCACUUCUGCCACUUCUCUUCAAUAUUUUACUGGCUGCUCUAGGCAAUAAAAAAGGCGAGAAGCAAGAACUAAGUAAGACAGUUAUUAUUCAUAGACAACACCUGAAUCUAUAAGAGGACCCUAUAAAAAGAACCUAGAGAAAAGCUACUUGAAUUAAGAAGUGAGUUUAGCGAAGUAACAAGAUCAGUAUGCUAACGUCUCAGUAAUUUCUAAAUAGCAGCUACAAACAAUUAAAAAUGGAAAUUUAGAAGUACAGCAUCACACAGUACACUACAAAAAACUGGGAAAGAAGUACACCAUCACUGUCCCCACUCCACAGCUACAGAACUGUAUGGCUCUGACGUUUUGAAGCAGAUCGCUGGGGAACUUCCUCUCAGAGGAAACGACUGCAUUCGCAAUGGAGUGUGGAGAAGGUCAUGCCUAGGGGCACUUUCAAGACAGCAGAGGCUGCAGUAAAAGGCAACUGGUGGGAGAUUGGUGGAAUUAUUGGACAAAGUGAGACAGGGACCAUGGGUGUAGUCAGAGUAGGGUGAGGGCCUCCAGGGAAAAGCAGAGAGGAAUAUUUACAGUCAGAGCAAAGUAAUGCGCAAAGAAGUCCCCACUGAAACUCUGUUAAGCAUUAUGCAAAGUCAAAGUCACACUAAUUCUCUCGGGAAAGAUACCUAAGAAUAUAGACAUCUUCAGUGAGAUCAGCUAAAGGUCAAAAGGCCAGAAGCAACUUGGCCUAGAAUGUCUGAGUGUUCUGCAAGGGUAUCAGCAUAACCCGUGACUCCUCUGUCAGCCCUAACAAUCAGACUUUGACCCAGCCCACCUUGAGGGCAGGUGAUGCAAGUCCACACCCCUAAGUUUUUUUCAUGUUCUCGAAAAAUCCUCAACUGCCUAUAAAACCCCCUAGACAAUGCACCACUACGUGCUCUCUUGUCCCCUCCUGGCAUGAGCCAGGGGCUCUAUUCUCUCACUUUAUUUCUAAAUAAAAGCCUGCACCUUGCUCUCCUACCUUGAGUGUCUGUGAAGCUCAUUCUUCGGCUACAUGAACAAGAACCCCGGCAUCAUCUUUGGGGGCUCAUCCGGGAUAACUUUGGAGGGUUCCCAGCAGCCUUACCAGGUGAGUAAGGAAGGUCACUUCCUGACAAGUGCAGGAACCUCAGGAUGUCUUGAGGACCUCGAGAAGAUAGGAAUUCACCCAAAUCUACAAGUACUGCAGACAAAACCUGAAGGCAAGUCUGGCUUAGCUGUCUGGCCUCAAGAGGCCUUUAAAAGUUCAAUCUGAAAUUCCUUACAAAAAGUUCCAGCAAAGCACAUUGAAAAGAGCCUAUGUAAUCAAUUGCUCUUCUUGCUGCACUUAUGCAAAUAAUAAAGCCAAGUGUUAAUUAUUUUCUUAACCUGGUUACUACUAAUAAAAAUGAGGGUGAUUUUAGAGAAAAGUAUUGUUUCAAUAAUGCAGCCUUAUCCAUACUAAAUCCUAAUACUAGUCAUUGGGACAUAAACUAGAUCCAGAAUUCUAGCUUCUUCAAAAUAUCUGGCUAUGAUUUUCCAGAUGUUUUAGUUUUCUCCUAUCAUUUCAAUUAAAGUUUUACUAUUUCUAGUUCUCGUAUUCAACCAUGUAUUCUUAAUCUCAUCAAGUAUGUCCUUCCAGAAUGGAAAAUCCAACUCCAGAUAUUGCUACUUAACCUAAUAACACAAUUUGUUCUAUCUUGCCUAGAAGCCAUAAAACUGCAAAUAAAAGUAACAGAAAUGGAACCUGGAAUAGAAGCGCCCAUCUUCCGAGGCCCUCUCAACUGACCACUGAUGGAGACCUAACUGCACCCUUUAUGUGCCCCUUCUCAGCAUGAAGCAGCCAGAGCGGUCAUCGCCCCCUUUCCCUAGCAGCAGCUAGGGUCUCCAUCUGUAGAGGGGGGAAUGAGACAGGGACCAGGGGUGUAGUCAGAGAAGGGUGAGGGCCUCCGGGAAAAGCAGGGUGGAAUAUUUACAGUCAGAGCAAUAUAACAA